UACGAAGGGGGCUAGCGUUGUUCGGAAUUACUGGGCGUAAAGCGCACGUAGGCGGAUUGUUAAGUCAGGGGUGAAAGCCCAAGGCUCAACCUUGGAAUUGCCUUUGAUACUGAGGGCCUUGAGACCGGAAGAGGUCGGCGGAACUGCGAGUGUAGAGGUGAAAUUCGUAGAUAUUCGCAAGAACACCAGUGGCGAAGGCGGCCGACUGGUCCGGUUCUGACGCUGAGGCGCGAAAGCGUGGGGAGCAAACAGG
rnacentral:rRNA from 1 species